rnacentral:miRNA from 1 species
AGUGUUAGGUGCAGCCUUGCUG